rnacentral:rRNA from 2 species
AGGAUUCCCCUAGUAACUGCGAGUGAAGCGGGAAAAGCUCAAAUUUAAAAUCUGGCGGUCUUUGGCUGUCCGAGUUGUAAUCUAGAGAAGUGCUACCUGUGCUGGACCGUGUAAAAGUCUCCUGGAAUGGAGCAUCAUAGAGGGUGAGAAUCCCGUCUUUGACAUGGACUACCUGUACAUUAUGGUGCGCUCUCAAAGAGUCGAGUUGUUUGGGAAUGCAGCUCAAAAUGGGUGGUAAAUGCCAUCUAAAGCUAAAUAUUGGCGAGAGACCGAUAGCGAACAAGUACCGUGAGGGAAAGAUGAAAAGAACUUUGGAAAGAGAGUUAAACAGUACGUGAAAUUGCUGAAAGGGAAACGCUUGAAGUCAGUCACGUUGGCUGGAAAUCAACCUUGCUUUUGCUUGGUGUACUUUCUGGUUGACGGGUCAGCAUCAAUUUUGACCACUGGAUAAAGUCUCUGGGAAUGUGGCAUCUUUGGAUGUGUUAUAGCCCUAAGUCGCAUACAGUGGUUGGGAUUGAGGAACUCAGCACGCCGCAAGGCCGGGUUUAGACCACGUUCGUGCUUAGGAUGCUGGCAUAAUGGCUUUAAUCGACCCGUCUUGAAACACGGACCAAGGAGUCUAACAUGCCUGCGAGUGUUUGGGUGGAAAACCCAUGCGCGUAAUGAAAGUGAAAGUUGAGAUCCCUCUAGGGAGCACCGACGCCCGGACCAGACCUUCUGUGACGGAUCCGCGGUAGAGCAUGUAUGUUGGGACCCGAAAGAUGGUGAACUAUGCCUGAAUAGGGUGAAGCCAGAGGAAACUCUGGUGGAGGCUCGUAGCGAUUCUGACGUGCAAAUCGAUCGUCAAAUUUGGGUAUAGGGGCGAAAGACUAAUCGAACCAUCUAGUA